UGCAUGUCUAAGUACAUGCCGUAUUAAGGCGAAACCGCGAAUGGCUCAUUAAAUCAGUUAUGGUUCCUUGGAUCGUACAUUACUACUUGGAUAACUGUGGCAAUUCUAGAGCUAAUACAUGCAGCAGAGCUCCGACCUUCGGGGACGAGCGCUUUUAUUAGACCAACCAAUCGGACCUCGUGUCCGUACUUUGUGGUGACUCUGUAUAACUUUGGGCUGAUCGCACGGGCCCGUCCCGGCGACGUAUCCUUCAAGUGUCUGCCUUAUCAACUUUCGAUGGUAGGUUACUCGCCUACCAUGGUCGUAACGGGUAACGGGGAAUCAGGGUUCGAUUCCGGAGAGGGAGCCUGAGAAACGGCUACCACAUCCAAGGAAGGCAGCAGGCGCGCAAAUUACCCACUCCCAGAACGGGGAGGUAGUGACGAAAAAUAACAAUACGGGACUCUUUUGAGACCCCGUAAUUGGAAUGAGUACACUCUAAAUCCUUUAACGAGGAUCCAUUGGAGGGCCAGUCUGGUGCCAGCCGCCGCGGUAAUUCCAGCUCCAAUAGCGUAUAUUAAAGUUGUUGCGGUUAAAAAGCUCGUAGUUGGAUCUCAGUUCCAGACGGGUGGUCCGCCUACCGGUGGUCACUGCCUGUUCUGAACAGCCAGCCGGUUUCUCUUGAUGAUCUUCACCGGUUGUCUUGGGUGACCGGCAAGUUUACUUUGAAAAAAUUAGAGUGCUCAAAGCAGGCGCGACGCCUGAAUAAUGGUGCAUGGAAUAAUGGAAUAGGACCUCGGUUCUAUUUUGUUGGUUUUAGGAACACGAGGUAAUGAUUAAGAGGGACAGACGGGGGCAUUCGUAUUGCGACGCUAGAGGUGAAAUUCUUGGACCGUCGCAAGACGAACUACUGCGAAAGCAUUUGCCAAGAAUGUUUCCAUUAAUCAAGAACGAAAGUUAGAGGUUCGAAGGCGAUCAGAUACCGCCCUAGUUCUAACCAUAAACGAUGCCAGCCAGCGAUCCGGCUGUGUUCCUCAAAUGACACGCCGGGCAGCUUCCGGGAAACCAAAGCUUUUGGGUUCCGGGGGAAGUAUGGUUGCAAAGCUGAAACUUAAAGGAAUUGACGGAAGGGCACCACCAGCAAUGGAGCCUGCGGUUCAAUUUGACUCAACACGGGAAAACUUACCCGGCCCGGACACAGGAAGGAUUGACAGAUUAAGAGCUCUUUCUUGAUUCUGUGAGAAGUGGUGCAUGGCCGUUCUUAGUUG
rnacentral:rRNA from 1 species